GGGGUUACCGCGCGGCGGGGUUGGGGGAGGGGCGCGGGGCACCCGGCGGGCGGGGCCGCCUUCCUCAGGUGGGGUUCGCGGAGGCUCGGCUCCUUCUGACCGCGAGCGGACCCCAAGCCAGGAGAGCAAAUGCUAACAGACGUUUCAAAUUUUUGCACAACCGGUGACUUCAAUGGGACCUCGUCUGGGCGGGGAGACAAAAGGUAAGGAAAUUGGGGCUCAGAAAAGAUACGUGACUUUUCCCUGGGUGCAACUCUGGACAACUUCAGAGACUCACCUCUUUCCUGAUUGCCAGCCUGAGAAGUUGAGAUAACUGUGUCAUCCUGGAUUGUGGACUGUAGGAGUAAGGCAAGGGGUAGAGAGAGAUCCCUUCUGUGGUACAGAUGUACCAAGAGUAGCUGAGAGCUGAGUAUGGAACAGGAGCCCUGAGAAAAACCUCCAGUUAUCCAAGGAACCACUCUCAACACAACAUGGCAUAUUCUACCACUGGAGGAAUCAGAGGUGUUUGUGUGGAAUUUUUCUGCCGUGUUUCUCCUUCCCUUUGUAUUGCCUGUCUCUGUGAAGACACCGCAUUGCUGCUGCUGCUGCCAGGAGAUGGAGCAUACAGUCUGAGGAACAACUGCAAAGCAUAGGAAUAAUGUUCUAACUAAUGGACUGGGAAAUAGGCUCCAAAAGAAGAUUGUCUCAUUAAAGUCAUUCCCUUGAGAGGACACUCAACAUUUCCAAAAAUGCUGCCUUUUCUUGAAGCAUUUUCGAAUUUAUAUUUGGUUUUACUGUGAACUCUUUCAGAGCAGAAAGAAGACUCAUUUCAUGUAUGGUGUGUGAUUGAUGUUUAUAGAAUAAAUAAAUGAACCCAGAUGCUGAAACAGAAAUCUAUAGAAAAUACAAUGGGAGCCGGGAGCACACAUUAUGAGACAUAUGUAUUUAUUUUCACCAAUUUAAUUUUUAACAUAUUGGUGCACUGUCAACAUCAUAUUGGUGAAAAAAUGCAUGUUUCUGGGAUGUUUGGAUUUUUAGAGGUUUAACACCCAAAUUUAACAAAAUCAUGAUCCAAAUUAGCAAUGUUUGGAGUUCAACUUGAGGCAUGGCUGUAUAGUAAUAAAACUGCAUUGCUUGCAAACAAGUUCUGAUGAAAACCAGAACAAAAGCUGGAAGAAAAGUAAGUGGGGUUUAAUGAAUAGUGAUGCUAUCCUCAAAUCUGAAGGGUGCUGGGUGUACUGUAGGAGGAGAUAACUAUAUAAAACCAUAACUACUUUCUAAGAAAAGCAGAUUGUAUUAGAGGCAUAAUUUCUUCUGAGAACAAAAGCACCAUCCCAGGGUUACUCAUACAAUGGGGGAUCAUGAAUAAACAAAAAUAUCCUAGAAGUGAAUUUAAGGAUUGUGGCAGGAGAGCACUGCAUUACUGUUCUUGGUGGGCAAAGAAUUCAGGGUUCCUAGGAGCCAUCCAGGAGGCCCAUUGGAAAGGAGGAGGACUACAGGACGGGAGUUCUUAGUAGUAUUAGGUUAAGCUAAAAAGUCACCCCAGUUGACAUAUUGGCUUCAUGUACAAGACAGAGAAAGAUAUAAAGUCUGAACAUUCAGUUUUGAUUAUACAAAAGUGGUCCUGAAGCUUCCCCCUCCACCACCAGAAUUUCCUCCUUUUCUUUCUUCCUUUGCUUGAAGAAAAAUUUCCCACCCAGCUGCUGCCACCCCUAUAGAUUGCUCAUAAUGUGUCCUCAGCUCCCAUUGUAUUUUCUAGAGAUUUCAAUUUUAGCAUCUGAAAAAAAAAUUUAGAGAAUGUAUGUGUUCAGAUAUACACCUUUCUGCUCCUUUAGACUCUGAGCCUCUUAAAGUGAGGGAAUAAGUCUUAUUUAUUUGUUUGCCUGAACCUGUUAUUCUUUUUCAGAUAUCCAGUUUAUUGAAUACACGAAUUAAUUAGUGAUUGAAUGUGUGCAUACAUAAUAUAUGAGAAUGAGUAUCUAUGUUCCUAGAAUGUAUAACCUAAACACUGGAAACUUUAACAGUGCAAGUGAGGGCCUAAAUUCAACUAAACCCUUUCAAAUGUCAAAAGAAAUUUUGCUUGCCUCCUGUCUUAGAGACUAUUUUUCUUUGCUUAUUUUAGUCAUAUUUCAACUCCAUCAUUUUCAUCUAGAAUCUCUGUAAACCACCAUGAUUGCCACCUCUCCCUCUUUCCCUGCAAAAUGCCUUUCUCUGAGAAACAAAAGAGGAAAUAAGUAAAAUUGCUUUGCAUGCCUUAAUGAAUUUUUACAAUGAAAGAAUAUCCUGGAGACAUUUCCCUUUAUACUCAGCAGAACUACUUUGCAGUCUAUGUAGCCCACCAUCUAAUUACAAGUUGGAAUAUUGUUAAGAAUAGAGCAAGAUUCAAAGAGCCAAUUACAUCGCCAAUCAGAGUUACGGCAACAUGCUCAGCAGCUGGUGAGAGUAGAGAGGAAGUCACUAAACCAGAAGAUCUCAUCAGUCUGUGGAUCACAUGAGGGGUGACACACAUAGUUCUCCUAUUGUUCUUCUCAUACAGCCACCAUAUCACCCAAAUGGAGACAAGGUUCCCUUUAAAGAGAUCAAGUAAGGUUGGUAACAGGAGCCCAUGUAUAAACCUGGACCCUGGGGAGGGAUUAUUGAGGGAAAACUAGAAGCAUCAAUUUGCUCUGUUCUGGUCUUCUUCCGAGACCUGUUUUGAGAGCUGGCCAGCAUGAGUCAACUAUUGUUGCUCAGCGGUCAAAUAGAAUACAAUCCAUUACUGGAGAAAAAGCAGUUCAUGUGGGAGAGAAUCUGGCACUCUUUUGUGGGCCUGGGAUCAUUACUGCACAGCAGAGAAUGCAGAUAAAGGAAGCCAGCUUCAAUUGCUUUUUUUUAAAAGGAGAAUAUUUGACUUGAACAAGCAGAACUGUGUACCUUCCCUUCUGUUUAUUUUGUACAAUUUGUUUCCAAGGAUCUUUGGUAUAAUUUGAUCCUGGUGAGCAAUGUAAUGUCAUGUGAACAGAAAACAAGGCUUACAUUAAAAAUCAUUUUGAAAGCUGGAAAUAAAUGUGGGCUGGAGGAAGGAAAGGAUGUGGCUUGGUGGUAAGGAGGAAAGAGGAUGUGUUAGGUGAAGGGCAUGUGACAUAUGCAGUCCUAAGAGCUGGAGGGCCCGUUGUUUGGCCUGAGAAGGCAAGGCUGUGUGAAUAAAGAACACGGCCUGCAAAGCAGCAUGGUGGGGGAGGAGUCACCAUAACCUGGGUGGAAGAUUCCUGGAGUCUGUGAAAUACAAGAUCAGAUCUAGUUAUUUUGCUUCAUUGUUUUGAUCACUGGGGUUACUGUGCACAUCUAAAAAGAGUGGCAUGACUAAAGUGACACUUCUGAUAACUUCUCAACCUUGAUCAUGUAUUGGAAUUUGGUUUUUAAGUUACAAUGUUCUGGUAUUUUAUAAAAUUUUAAAGAUAAACUUAGCAUGCCACAUACUAGAAGAAUCACCCUUGCUUUACAUUGGACUGCUUCAGUCCUAUAAUGCCCUCAACAGUGUUUCUCAACUUCUCUAACUAUAAUGACCAUCUGCAGUAUAGUCAUCUGCUGGUACAUCUGCCCCUUAAGCCAGUGAUUUUCAAACUUUAAGGUGCAUAGGAAAUUUCAGGGUAUCUUAGAAGACAAGAAAACAGACAUUUUGAUAUGUAGAACUGAGUUACAGUCUGAGAGUCAAUAUUCUAACAAGUUCUCUGGUGUGACCUUUUGUGGCCCUCUGAACAUACGAAGCAGCAAGGCCUGAUGUGGUGACUACUCAUAACCUCAUUCUCACUCUCAUUUCAAUUAUGGUGGAGUCAUUGUGUUCAGGCUUUGGGUUCAGAACACACAGGCCUCUACCUUCUGCUAACUGAUUGAAUCUGGGAAAGUUCAUUAACCUCACUGACCUAGUUUCCUUGCCUAUAAAAUGAGGAUAAAUGAGUGCUGUGGAAUUAUAAAAUAUUAAAGUGAACGAAUAGUUUAGAGCCUUGCACCUUGUGCCUAAUUAUCUCUAACUCCUAAGACUCUCUCUCUCAUUAGAACUUCCUUAAUUUUCCCCUACUCCCUCACUUCUACUGAAUCUUAUAGAAAUUCUCAGCUGACCUCUUGGCCCUUGAAUCCUCUCAACUUCCCCAAAUCAAUGCUUCUUCUGCCCAGUCUGUGUUCUCGGGCCUGUCAUGUAGACCAUGUCUUUUACCUAUUCAUUCACUAAAUAUUCACUGAACAUUUGCUAUAUGUUAGAUAUUACAAUAUGUUCUGGAAGUAUAUUCAAUAUAUUCAGUGGUGGACUGGUAAAUGUUUAACGACUGGUGUUAAAACAUAUGUAUAUGUAUAUAAAUACAUGUAUAUAUAUUUUAUGAAAAAAUAUUGAUGUGAAAAAUAUAUAAUAUAAAAUUUAUUCUUUAUUGUAAAUUCAAAAUACACAAUUUGUUCCCACAGAUUUUCUUUUGUCUUGUUUUUCGUUGUACUGGGGAUUGAACCCAGGGCCUUAUGCUUGCAAGGCAAGCACUCUACCAACUGAGCUAUAUCCCCAGCCCCUUUCUUUUGUUUUUGUUAAAUCUUUAUCUUUAGCCAAGUUGUAGUUGUUAACUAAUGAGUGAAUACAGUUUGCACAUGAUUGUUGUUUAAAUUUUUUAA